GAUGAACGCUGGCGGCGUGCCUAAUACAUGCAAGUCGAGCGAACGGACGAGAAGCUUGCUUCUCUGAUGUUAGCGGCGGACGGGUGAGUAACACGUGGACAACCUACCUAUAAGACUGGGAUAACUUCGGGAAACCGGAGCUAAUACCGGAUAAUAUUUUGAACCGCAUGGUUCAAAAGUGAAAGACGGUCUUGCUGUCACUUAUAGAUGGAUCCGCGCUGCAUUAGCUAGUUGGUAAGGUAACGGCUUACCAAGGCAACGAUGCAUAGCCGACCUGAGAGGGUGAUCGGCCACACUGGAACUGAGACACGGUCCAGACUCCUACGGGAGGCAGCAGUAGGGAAUCUUCCGCAAUGGGCGAAAGCCUGACGGAGCAACGCCGCGUGAGUGAUGAAGGUCUUCGGAUCGUAAAACUCUGUUAUUGGGGAAGAACAUAUGUGUAAGUAACUGUGCACAUCUUGACGGUACCUAAUCAGAAAGCCACGGCUAACUACGUGCCAGCAGCCGCGGUAAUACGUAGGUGGCAAGCGUUAUCCGGAAUUAUUGGGCGUAAAGCGCGCGUAGGCGGUUUUUUAAGUCUGAUGUGAAAGCCCACGGCUCAACCGUGGAGGGUCAUUGGAAACUGGAAAACUUGAGUGCAGAAGAGGAAAGUGGAAUUCCAUGUGUAGCGGUGAAAUGCGCAGAGAUAUGGAGGAACACCAGUGGCGAAGGCGACUUUCUGGUCUGUAACUGACGCUGAUGUGCGAAAGCGUGGGGAUCAAACAGGAUUAGAUACCCUGGUAGUCCACGCCGUAAACGAUGAGUGCUAAGUGUUAGGGGGUUUCCGCCCCUUAGUGCUGCAGCUAACGCAUUAAGCACUCCGCCUGGGGAGUACGACCGCAAGGUUGAAACUCAAAGGAAUUGACGGGGACCCGCACAAGCGGUGGAGCAUGUGGUUUAAUUCGAAGCAACGCGAAGAACCUUACCAAAUCUUGACAUCCUUUGACAACUCUAGAGAUAGAGCUUUCCCCUUCGGGGGACAAAGUGACAGGUGGUGCAUGGUUGUCGUCAGCUCGUGUCGUGAGAUGUUGGGUUAAGUCCCGCAACGAGCGCAACCCUUAAGCUUAGUUGCCAUCAUUAAGUUGGGCACUCUAAGUUGACUGCCGGUGACAAACCGGAGGAAGGUGGGGAUGACGUCAAAUCAUCAUGCCCCUUAUGAUUUGGGCUACACACGUGCUACAAUGGACAAUACAAAGGGCAGCGAAACCGCGAGGUCAAGCAAAUCCCAUAAAGUUGUUCUCAGUUCGGAUUGUAGUCUGCAACUCGACUACAUGAAGCUGGAAUCGCUAGUAAUCGUAGAUCAGCAUGCUACGGUGAAUACGUUCCCGGGUCU
rnacentral:rRNA from 1 species